ensembl:lncRNA
ACACAACCUGUUACAGUUAUGUUUGAUUUUUCAGUACCCAAGAACUAAAUUCUAAGAUAAAUAUGUUAGACUGAGUGUCUUCCAGACUUAGCCUAUGGGAAGAAAAUGAGUUAUACAUUAGAGGAGUUGUUAUAGAUUAUAAAUUGUAAAUAAUGAGUAGAUCAUAUUAAUUUUGUAUUCAUGAGCUUUCAGGUUAUUUUAUAGCAUUUUUCUCUCUGUGCAUUCUAUAGCCUCUGUAUGUAACAGCAACAAACUUUGAUAUGGUGAAUGACAUAAUCAGCAAGUUACUACCAAUGAUAAGAAAGCAUAACAUUGAAGAUUACCAACUGUGGUUCUGUCCUGGCCCUGGGAAAGCUCCAAGAGUACUCCAAGGCAUGAGUAUCCGCAUGACAUUAGAAUGAUAAAUAUUCAAAAGAACUUCAGUUUACGGGACUUAAGAAAUUUUACAGCUUUCCUUCCCUACCUGGGGUAAUCAUGAAAUAUCUAAACGCUCAUGUACAUGGGAAAUUCAUCUUGAAGCCCAGAAACUCAGCAAGAAGCCAGCAGCAAAAAAAUAUGAAGGAAAAAACUUUUAAGAAACAAAGAACUUCUAUAACAUAGCAGUUGGACAGGGGCUCUGUGCCCCACCAGGACCAAGUAUGCACCACCCCACCAGUUAAAAAGGGAAGAAAACUGUUUGGAAGAGAACUCAGUUCCAUUUGUCAGGAUGGCAUCCUGCCCGCUCCAAUUCUGGACUUCCUCCAAAACCUCAAGGGAAGUCUAAUGACUUCAAAACUGUAUGAUGAGUGGAUUGAUGUACCCGAAAAGGUCAAUGAUGAAGAGAAAUUAGCUGCAGUGCAGAGGUAAUUGUUGGAAACUGUGAACAACCUCAACAAAAUAGAAGUAACAUUUGCUUACACACAUUAGAGAUUAUAUAUCACAGAAACAUUUACUAAGAACACUGACAGACAGCAAAAGCUUUCAAUUGUUCACAGACAUGGAAGACACUUUCAAAAGAGUGUGAGUUACAGUGGGAAUCACAGUAGCCCAGGCUUAUAAUCUUACUUUCCUAUUCCAAUUAGAUUUGUCUUUUUUCUGAACUGGGUAAAUAUUUCAAGCAAUAAUUUGAGUACAAACUCUUUCAUUUUAUUUACAGUGCAUCGUGCAUACGAUAUGAUUACUCUGUUCCCUUCCUUCAUAUUUACAAAUUGAGUAUACUUGUUUUAAAAUAACUGUCUCUGUGUUCAGUCUUUUAGAUAAAAUGCCACCUGAAAAUGCGGCUCUUCUGAGGCAACUUUUUUGUAUAUUAUAUGAAAUUAAACGUAACUGUUCUGUUAAUGAAAUGUCUUCUUACCACCUAUCUGUUGGGUUAGCCCCAUGUCUCUUAUUUGUGCCCAG